GUCUUUUUGAUAAAUAAUUUAAAGUCUAAUCUGCCCCCUGAAAUUAUUUUAAAGGGCUGCGGUAUCUUAACCGUACAAAGGUAGCAUAAUAAUUAGGUUUUUAAUUGAAAUCUUGAAUGAAUGAUUGGACGAGAUAUGGGCUGUUUUAAAAUAUAAAUUUGAAUUUAAUUUUUUAGUUAAAAAGCUAAAAUAUUUUUAAAAGACGAGAAGACCCUAUAAAUCUUUAUAAUUUAUUUAUUUUAAUUAAUUAUUUUAAUAAAAUUAAUUUAAAUAAUAGAAUUAUUUUAUUGGGGUGAUAUAAAAAUUUUUUAAACUUUUUAUGAUUAUAAUACUAUAAUUAAAGAUUUAUAAAAUAUAUGAUCUAUUAAUAAUAAUUAAAAGAAAAAGAUACUUUAGGGAUAACAGCGUAAUUUUAAUAUUAAGUUCAUAUUAUUAUUAAAGAUUGCGACCUCGAUGUUGGAUUAAAAUUUAAUUUAAAUGCAAAAGUUUAAAAAUUAAGUCUGUUCGACUUUUAAAAUUUU
rnacentral:rRNA from 1 species